rnacentral:rRNA from 1 species
UACGUAGGGUGCGAGCGUUGUCCGGAAUUACUGGGCGUAAAGAGCUCGUAGGUGGUUUGUCGCGUUGUUCGUGAAAACUCACAGCUUAACUGUGGGCGUGCGGGCGAUACGGGCAGACUGGAAUACUGCAGGGGAGACUGGAAUUCCUGGUGUAGCGGUGGAAUGCGCAGAUAUCAGGAGGAACACCGGUGGCGAAGGCGGGUCUCUGGGCCGAUACUGACGCUGAGGAGCGAAAGCGUGGGGAGCAAACAGG